GAUGAACGCUGGCGGCGUGCUUAACACAUGCAAGUCGAACGGUGAAGGCGGAGCUUGCUCUGCUGGAUCAGUGGCGAACGGGUGAGUAACACGUGAGCAAUCUGCCCCUGACUCUGGGAUAAGCGCUGGAAACGGCGUCUAAUACUGGAUACGAGCUGCGAAGGCAUCUUCAGCAGCUGGAAAGAACUUCGGUCAGGGAUGAGCUCGCGGCCUAUCAGCUUGUUGGUGAGGUAACGGCUCACCAAGGCGUCGACGGGUAGCCGGCCUGAGAGGGUGACCGGCCACACUGGGACUGAGACACGGCCCAGACUCCUACGGGAGGCAGCAGUGGGGAAUAUUGCACAAUGGGCGAAAGCCUGAUGCAGCAACGCCGCGUGAGGGACGACGGCCUUCGGGUUGUAAACCUCUUUUAGCAGGGAAGAAGCGAAAGUGACGGUACCUGCAGAAAAAGCGCCGGCUAACUACGUU
rnacentral:rRNA from 1 species